rnacentral:lncRNA from 1 species
AGUGUAGGACUAAUGUGUAGAUACCCAAAAGGGUAACCUUAGUUAAUGAUGGGCUAACUAAGGUUACAUAUAUGUAACCAUGGUUACAAGCUUGUGACUUGAGUUAUGUAACUCUUGUGACUCUUGGGUUAUGUAUCUCAUAGAGUUAUAAAGUGGGGGUUAUAGUUCCCACAUUAGUGCAAGACAAGACUCUUCUUCCUCCCAUUGAAUCAAGAGCCAAAAUACUCCAUUGUUGUCUUGCAAAUAGUGUGGANNNN